UACGGAGGAUGCAAGCGUUAUCCGGAAUGAUUGGGCGUAAAGCGUCCGCAGGUGGCUAUGUAAGUCUGCUGUUAAAGAGUGAGGCUCAACCUCAUAAGAGCAGUGGAAACUACAUAGCUAGAGUGCGUUCGGGGCAAAGGGAAUUCCUGGUGUAGCGGUGAAAUGCGUAGAGAUCAGGAAGAACACCGGUGGCGAAAGCGCUUUGCUAGGCCGCAACUGACACUGAGGGACGAAAGCUAGGGGAGCGAAUGGG
rnacentral:rRNA from 1 species